rnacentral:rRNA from 1 species
AACGAACGCUGGCGGCAUGCCUAACACAUGCAAGUCGAACGAGACCUUCGGGUCUAGUGGCGCACGGGUGCGUAACGCGUGGGAAUCUGCCCUUGGGUUCGGAAUAACUCGCCGAAAGGCGUGCUAAUACCGGAUGAUGACGUAAGUCCAAAGAUUUAUCGCCCAAGGAUGAGCCCGCGUUGGAUUAGCUAGUUGGUGAGGUAAAGGCUCACCAAGGCGACGAUCCAUAGCUGGUCUGAGAGGAUGAUCAGCCACACUGGGACUGAGGCACGGCCCAGACUCCUACGGGAGGCAGCAGUGGAGAAUAUUGGACAAGGGGCGAAAGCCUGAUCCAGCAAUGCCGCGUGAGUGAGGAAGGCCUUAGGGUUGUAAAGCUCUUUUACCCGGGAUGAUAAUGACCGUACCGGGAGAAUAAGCUCCGGCUAACUCCGUG